rnacentral:rRNA from 1 species
CCUACGGGAGGCAGCAGUGGGGGAUAUUGCACAAUGGGGGGAACCCUGAUGCAGCGACGCCGCGUGGGUGAAGAAGCGCCUCGGCGCGUAAAGCCCUGUCAGCAGGGAAGAAAAUGACGGUACCUGAAGAAGAAGCCCCGGCUAACCACGUGCCAGCAGCCGCGGUAAUACGUAGGGGGCAAGCGUUAUCCGGAUUUACUGGGUGUAAAGGGGGCGCAGACGGCGAUGCAAGCCAGGAGUGAAAGCCCGGGGGCCAACCCCGGGACUGCUCUUGGAACUGCGUGGCUGGAGUGCAGGAGGGGCAGGCGGAAUUCCUGGUGUAGCGGUGAAAUGCGUAGAUAUCAGGAGGAACACCGGUGGCGAAGGCGGCCUGCUGGACUGCAACUGACGUUGAGGCCCGAAAGCGUGGGGAGCAAACAGGAUUAGAUACCCUUGUAGUC